rnacentral:rRNA from 1 species
CAGUCGCCACGGGAAUACGUAGGUGGCAAGCGUUGUCCGGAAUUAUUGGGCGUAAAGGGCUCGCAGGCGGUUUCUUAAGUCUGAUGUGAAAGCCCCCGGCUCAACCGGGGAGGGUCAUUGGAAACUGGGAAACUUGAGUGCAGAAGAGGAGAGUGGAAUUCCACGUGUAGCGGUGAAAUGCGUAGAGAUAUGGAGGAACACCAGUGGCGAAGGCGACUCUCUGGUCUGUAACUGACGCUGAGGAGCGAAAGCGUGGGGAGCGAACAGGAUUAGAUACCCCUGUAGUCCCUGUCUCUUAUAC